CCUACGGGAGGCAGCAGUGAGGAAUAUUGGUCAAUGGGCGGAAGCCUGAACCAGCCAAGUCGCGUGCAGGAUGACGGCCCUACGGGUUGUAAACUGCUUUUAUACGGGAAUAACGCGCCUUACGUGUAGGGCUUUGCAUGUACCGUAUGAAUAAGGACCGGCUCAUUCCGGGCCAGCAGCCGCGGUAAUACGGAAGGUCCGGGCGUUAUCCGGAUUUGUUGGGUUUAAAGGGAGCGUAGGCCGCCUGGCAAGGGUGCUGUGAAAUGUCCGGGCUCAACCCGGGCCUUGCAGCGCGAACUGGCGGGCUUGAGUCAGCGGAAAGCAGGCGGAAUGCGUCGUGUAGCGGUGAAAUGCUUAGAUAUGACGAAGAACUCCGAUUGCGAAGGCAGCUUGCUGCAGCGGAACUGACGCUGAUGCUCGAAAGCGCGGGUAUCGAACAGGAUUAGAUACCCGUGUAGUC
rnacentral:rRNA from 1 species